rnacentral:sRNA from 1 species
GCUGGGUGAGGUGGCGCAUGCCUGUAGUCCCAGUGGCUCGGGAGACUGAGGCAGGAGGAUCACGAGUUCAAAGCCAGCCUCAGCAACUUAGCAAGGCCUUAAGUUACUCAGUGAGACCCUGUCUCUA